rnacentral:rRNA from 1 species
CCAGCAGCCGCGGUAAUACGGGAGUGGCAAGCGUUAUCCGGAAUUAUUGGGCGUAAAGCGUCCGCAGGCGGUCUUUUAAGUCUGUUGUUAAAGCGUGGAGCUUAACUCCAUUUCAGCAAUGGAAACUGGAAGACUAGAGUGUGGUAGGGGCAGAGGGAAUUCCCGGUGUAGCGGUGAAAUGCGUAGAUAUCGGGAAGAACACCAGUGGCGAAGGCGUUCUGCUGGGCCAUAACUGACGCUCAUGGACGAAAGCCAGGGGAGCGAAAGGGAUUAGAUACCCCUGUAGUCCUGGCCGUAAACGAUGAACACUAGGUGUCGGGGGAAUCGACCCCCUCGGUGUCGUAGCCAACGCGUUAAGUGUUCCGCCUGGGGAGUACGCACGCAAGUGUGAAACUCAAAGGAAUUGACGGGGGCCCGCACAAGCGGUGGAGUAUGUGGUUUAAUUCGAUGCAACGCGAAGAUCUUACCAGGGUUUGACAUCCUGCGAAUCUUUUGGAAACAGAAGAGUGCCUUCGGGAACGCAGUGACAGUGUGCAUGCUGUCGUCAGCUCGUGUCGUGAGAUGUUGGGUUAGUCCCGCACGAGCGCAACCCACGUCGUUAGUUGCCAGCAUUAAUUGGGCACUCUAGCGAGACCGCCGGUGAUAAACCGGAGGAAGGUGUGGAUGACGUCAAGUCAUCAUGCCCCUUACAUCCUGGGCUACACACGUACUACAAUGCUACGGACAAAGGGCAGCAAACUCGCGAGAGCUAGCAAAUCCCAUAAACCGUGGCUCAGUUCAGAUCGUAGGCUGCAACUCGCCUACGUGAAGGAGGAAUCGCUAGUAAUCGCAGGUCAGCAUACUGCGGUGAAUACGUUCCCGGGCCUUGUACACACCGCCCGUCACACCAUGGAAGUUGGCCACGCCCGAAGCCGUUACUCCAACCCUUGUGGAGGAGGACGUCGAAGGUGGGGCUGAUGACUGGGGUGAAGUCGUAACAAGGUAGCCGAU